AACGAACGCUGGCGGCAUGCCUAACACAUGCAAGUCGAACGAAGGCUUCGGCCUUAGUGGCGCACGGGUGCGUAACGCUUGGGAAUCUGCCCUUAGGUUCGGAAUACAGCUGGAAAACGGCUGCUAAUACCGGAUGAUAUCGCGAGAUCAAAGAUUUAUCGCUUGAGGAUGAGCCCGCGUUGGAUUAGGUAGUUGGUGGGGUAAAGGCUUACCAAGCUGACGAUCCAUAGCUGGUCUGAGAGGAUGAUCAGCCACACUGGGACUGAGACACGGCCCAGACUCAUACGGGAGGCAGCAGUGGGGAAUAUUGGACAAUGGGCGAAAGCCUGAUCCAGCAAUGCCGCGUGAGUGAUGAAGGCCCUAGGGUUGUAAAGCUCUUUUACCCGGGAAGAUAAUGACUGUACCGGGAGAAUAAGCCCCGGCUAACUCCGUGCCAGCAGCCGCGGUAAUACGGAGGGGGCUAGCGUUGUUCGGAAUUACUGGGCGUAAAGCGCACGUAGGCGGCUUUGUAAGUCAGAGGUGAAAGCCUGGAGCUCAACUCCAGAACUGCCUUUGAGACUGCAUCGCUUGAAUCCAGGAGAGGUCAGUGGAAUUCCGAGUGUAGAGGUGAAAUUCGUAGAUAUUCGGAAGAACACCAGUGGCGAAGGCGGCUGACUGGACUGGUAUUGACGCUGAGGUGCGAAAGCGUGGGAGCAAACAGGAUUAGAUACCCUGGUAGUCCACGCCGUAAACGAUGAUAACUAGCUGUCCGGGCACUAGGUGCUUGGGUGGCGCAGCUAACGCAUUAAGUUAUCCGCCUGGGGAGUACGGCCGCAAGGUUAAAACUCAAAGGAAUAGACGGGGGCCUGCACAAGCGGUGGAGCAUGUGGUUUAAUUCGAAGCAACGCGCAGAACCUUACCAGCGUUUGACAUGGUAGGACGACUUCCAGAGAUGGAUUUCUUCCCUUCGGGGACCUACACACAGGUGCUGCAUGGCUGUCGUCAGCUCGUGUCGUGAGAUGUUGGGUUAAGUCCCGCAACGAGCGCAACCCUCGCCUUUAGUUACCAUCAUUUGGUUGGGUACUCUAAAGGAACCGCCGGUGAUAAGCCGGAGGAAGGUGGGGAUGACGUCAAGUCCUCAUGGCCCUUACGCGCUGGGCUACACACGUGCUACAAUGGCAACUACAGUGGGCAGCGACCCUGCGAGGGCGAGCUAAUCCCCAAAAGUUGUCUCAGUUCGGAUUGUUCUCUGCAACUCGAGAGCAUGAAGGCGGAAUCGCUAGUAAUCGCGGAUCAGCAUGCCGCGGUGAAUACGUUCCCAGGCCU
rnacentral:rRNA from 1 species